AUGAGUUCUCUUACAAAUUAUCAUUAUUUAUUACCAGAUCAGAAAGCUGAUGAAGAGAUUUUGCUUGAGUUUCCACGGGGAAAACUGGAGUCACUGAGAAACCAAAUUCCAGUCUCUUCAAGGUCACUUAAUGGAAAAGCAACAGGAGCCACACUCACUGCAGAAGUAGGACCUACCAAGCUGUGGGAGAUGAACUCCCUGGGCCCUCUGAAGACCUUCUGGUGUGGAAGGAGAGGGAAAAAACCUCAGAUCCUUUGUGCCUCCUCCUACAUUCGGGUAUGUUUGAGAGGACUGCUUUCCCAAACUAGAGUAACUGUCAGUACCACCUUGGCAGGCAGUUCUAGAACUCCAGGGCAUCAAGUCCCUCUUGUUAGCCCCAAAAGUAGCAAAGACUAUAGGUGGUGUAUCUCCAAGCAGGUGUCUAAGUGGAACAGAUAUGUUGAUCCUAACCAAGACAGGUUACAUGAAAGUUAACUGGGCAUAUACUUAAUGUCACACAUGAUUAUGAUUGUGCUGCACAGUAAUUAGGCAUAAAUGGUGAGGGGCUGAUGUAAGUGACUAUAAUUAGUAUUACUUUUACACAGCUAAGCCAAAUUUCAUUUCCCCUUUCUAUACUGCUAAUUUGCCAGUAUCUGUAAUCAGUGUCAGUGUUGAUAAUUUCUUGAUGCCCUAUUCCAUUUAACAGCCACGUCCUGUGAACAUACACAGAUCCAGACACACAGGCAUACAUGGAUACAUACACCAUGAUCACGCACGUGCGCGCGUGGGCGCACACGCACACACACACACACACACACACACACACACACAUAGAGCAAGUCUGGAUCCAAGUCUCUAAAAUGAGCAUUCCUUUGUCCCUGGCUCACUAGCCCCGCUCUGCAGGACAGAUGUUUACUCUUCUCCAUCCAUGAGUCCUUACCCUAUUCCCCUCCUUCCUGGCCCUGGAGCAACAGAGAUCUCUUGAGAAAGGCUUGACCACUGGCUGAGGUCAUCUGCAAGUUCCUUUCUAUUCCCGAAAUUCCAUUUUAAAAAUAGUAAGUGGGGAUGAAAACAUAUAGGUGAGUAGGUUUUAGUGCCUUCAUAAUUAUCACCACAUCAUCACCAGAAAAAAAUGAUAGUGACUGGAUUUUAAUAUACUCCAUAUAUUCUUUAUAUCCAUAAUCCCUUUAAAUUGUGAGGUGGGCACUACUAUCCAUUUCCCAAAUGAGAAUACUGGAACUUACUGAGGUUAAGUAUUUGCCCACAAUCAUGGAGCAAGUAAGUGGGAAGUUAAGAUUCAUAUUCUGGGGAUUUGAACUUUAAAAUCCAUGAUAUGUCACCAACUUGUUCUUCUAGCAAAAUAUAAAUAAUAAGGACAAAUAUUUCCUUCCCCUGAAUCUUAAUUGUUUUAACUAUGUUUGUAGGGCAGAUCUGUCUUACUUUUACCGUGUUGGGAAGGAAGGCCUUGCUCUGCCCCAGCUGGACUUAGAAGCAA
rnacentral:lncRNA from 1 species